UUUUUUUUUUGUCACAUUUUAUUGCAUAGUAAGCAACAGGAGCUAGCUAGCUAGAGAUUGUUGUUGGGUUUGCUUUUGCAGAUUUGGAAUUGAAUACGUGUUCAGUUUAGUUCUUGGAAACUCCAUGAACAAUGGGAGGAUGAGAGUGAUCAGUGUCCUAAUAAUUGCCAUUUUGGUUUCAGUUUGUUGAUUUUUGAAUUCUUCUCUAGAUUGAUCAUGUGGAAGAGUUUAAGAUGUGAUUUAGUUUGGUCCAUAAUGGGACAAAAAAUGGGGAAAUAGGGAAAUAGAGAGAUAGGGAGAGGUAGAGUUUGUAUAGGAGGAUAUUUGUUUGUGUUUAGUAUAAUUA
rnacentral:misc_RNA from 1 species